rnacentral:tRNA from 1 species
UGGCGGAUCGUCUAAUUGGCAGGACGCUGGGUUCUGGUUCCAGUAGUCAAGGUUCGAGUCCUUGUCCGCCAGCCA